UGAAAGUUGUGAGAGUAGUUGCA
rnacentral:piRNA from 1 species